rnacentral:rRNA from 1 species
AGUGAACGCUGGCGGUAGGCCUAACACAUGCAAGUCGAACGGCAGCACAGUAAGAGCUUGCCCUUACGGGUGGCGAGUGGCGGACGGGUGAGGAAUACAUCGGCAUCUACUUUUUCGUGGGGGAUAACGUAGGGAAACUUACGCUAAUACCGCAUAUGACCUACGGGUGAAAGCAGGGGAUCUUCGGACCUUGCGCGAUUGAAUGAGCCGAUGUCGGAUUAGCUAGUUGGCGGGGUAAAGGCCCACCAAGGCGACGAUCCGUAGCUGGUCUGAGAGGAUGAUCAGCCACACUGGAACUGAGACACGGUCCAGACUCCUACGGGAGGCAGCAGUGGGGAAUAUUGGACAAUGGGCGCAAGCCUGAUCCAGCCAUGCCGCGUGGGUGAAGAAGGCCUUCGGGUUGUAAAGCCCUUUUGUUGGGAAAGAAAAGCAGCAGGUUAAUACCCCGCUGUUCUGACGGUACCCAAAGAAUAAGCACCGGCUAACUUCGUG